rnacentral:lncRNA from 1 species
CCUUGGAUCCCCUUCCACACUGUGGGAGGUUUGUUCUUUUGCUCUUUGCAAUAAAGCUUGCUGCUGCUCACUCUUUGGGUCCAGACUGUCUUUAUGAGCUAUAACACUCACCGGGAAGGUCUGCAGCUUCACUCCUGAAGCCAAGGAGACCACGAACCCACCGGGAGGAAGGAACAACUACAGACACGCCGGCUUAAGAGCUGUAGCACUCACUGCGAAGGUCCGCAGCUUCACUCUUGAGCCAGAGACCACGAACCCACCAGAAGGAAGAAACUCCAAACACAUCCGAACAUCAGAAGGAAAAAACUCCAGACACGCCGCCUUUAAGAACUGCAACACUGCGAGGGUCCGCGGCUUCAUUCUUGAAGUCAGUGAGACCAAGAACCCACCAAUUCCAGACACACUACCAAAGGCAGAGGGGAGCUCCUAGACAAAGAUAUUUUGCUUACAAAUGGAACAUAUCAAAUCAAGCUUUUGUGAACUUGAGGGAAGAAACAAAGAAUAUGAAGCCUAAAUGGAAGUGUCAGGAAAUGGUCGCCUUGCGGACAAGGAAACAGCAGCCUGGAAGGCCAGGAGAGGGCAGACUACCCACCUAACCCUCUGCAGAAUUUUGUGUGGACCCUGGAGACCAGAAACUAACUUCUCCUGCAGAGACAAGGUCUUGCUCUGUCACCCUGGCUGGUCUUGAACUCCUGGCUUCAAGCAAUUCAUCCAUCUCAGCCUCCUGAGUAGCUGGGAUUACAGAAAAAACAGUGAAGCAUAGACAGUUUUUGCAAGAGGCCCAAGAUCAUACAUCAAAUAUGUGCACAGCCAGGACCUGAACCAGUUGAUAUCUACAAAUGCCUGGCUUUUGCCACUGGGCUCCUUCAGUGAAGAUGUGUCUGCUUCCCCUUCACCUCCCACCAUGAUUGUAAGUUUCCUGAGGCCUGCACAGCAAUGUUUCCUGGACAGCCUGUGGAACUGCUCAGGAGUCAGACCACCUGGGUUCCAAUCUUGGCAUUGCCACUGGAAAAGAAUGUGACCUGAAACCACAUGAAACGACAAAUGAAUCAAUAAAUGUCCUCAUGUCAUAUCCUGCAUAGUUCUGUUUGCCCUGAUUGACAUUAAAAUAUCAUCUGCUCAAUGGAUUCUGUCUUUAUCCUGACUGGUUUAUACUGGUCCUGUUAAUCUCUUAAACCUAUUUCAUUAUUCAUAUCACUAAAGGGUCAAGCAUAUGUGCUACUCCUACAGUCUAAUUACAUUUUAAUUCUUUUUUGGGAUUUUUCCAUUCCUCUUUUGUUACAAUGAACUGAUGUUUGAGGCAGUUUAGAAAGAUAUUUGUAGUUUAUAAUGGAAAAGCAGCUCACAAUGCAGCCUAUGGAUUCUUUGAGUGGACACAAUAUGCGUUAUAUGAAUAAAAUGACUUAAAAUGUUGUUAUUUUGUUGUAUCCAUUAACUUCUCAGUUUUAUGCUGAAAAAUAUUUGAUUACAUAAUUCUAUGCACUCCUAUUUGAAGGAAGGUGUUCAAGUCAACUGAAAAUACCUCCAAUUUGGAAUUAGCAAGAUCUUCCAAUGAUCACAAAAAGUAUUUUGAUAAAAAAUAAUGGUAAUAUUUUACAUAAAUUUGAGGGCUUACAAUGUACUACACAUUGUUCAAAAUAAUUUGUACAUAUUAAUUGAGGUAGUCAACAAAACAACUCUUGUAACUGGUGCUAUGUUGUCAUUCCUAAACUCGUGGUGACUGAAACAUAGCUCAAGAAACUUCUACAAUGGCAUGAAGCCAGUAAAUUGCAGAGUUGGCAUUAGAUAAACUGUGUUAUAGCCCAAGAUCCAUGGGUUUAUUCAAUGCUAGUCACACAAUAAAAUAUAUUUAAAAUGCUAUAAAAUAUUGCUUUGGCCUGCAUUUGAGGAGCUACACGCUGAUUUCCUAGAACGAUCUUCAUAUUUAUUUUGGAACAAUCAGUUAAAAAAAAAUAAAAAAGAAUCUGUUUGGGCCACAUAUGCCAGAGGCUAAAGGAAUUGCUGUCCUCUGUUCUGUUCCUGUCCACCUCAGCACUUUUGAUCUCUGGGGCAUGCUGUUGGUCUUAACCAUAAAUUGAAAAUGAGAGGCAGAAUAAUUAAAGAGCAAACUGUAAUUAUGACCAAGAUCUAAAGAGAGAAAAACUAACAUUGAGUAUCGGCCUUCAAUUUCCUAUUAGUGCAUUUAAGAUUAGCUAUAAACAGCCUUGUUAAACUCAAUUAAAUAGUUCAUCAGAAGGAUUUUUCUUAUUAGUACAGGCUGAGUGAUGUGACUUUUAGAACCAUGUUGCUGGUUAUGCAUGAGCAUUUUUCAACAUUGAUUUUGUAC